GACGAACGCUGGCGGCGUGCCUAAUACAUGCAAGUAGAACGCAGUUGCGAACGGGUGAGUAACGCGUAGGUAACUGCCUGGUAGCGGGGGAUAACUAUUGGAAACGAUAGCUAAUACCGCAUACUACCAGAUGGACCUGCGUUGUAUUUGCUAGUUGGUGGGGUAACGGCCCACCAAGGCAACGAUACAUAGCCGACCGGGGAGGGUUGUCCGCCAAACGUGGACUGGGACCAGGCCCAGACUCCUACGGGAUGCAGCAGGAGGGUAUCUUCGGCAAUGGGGGGAACCCUGACCGAGCAACGGCGCGUGAGUGAAGAAGGGUUUCGGAUCGUAAAGCUCUGUUGUUAAGGAAGCGGUACUUAACCAGAAAGGGACGGCUAACUACGUGCCAGCAGCCGCGGUAAUUC
rnacentral:rRNA from 1 species